AUGGAGGAUAGCAGGGGAUGGGGAAAUUAUGAAAAUCUGUUUAUCUUAUACAUCAGCAAUUCCCAGAUGAAUAGUGCUGUAACAAUAGCAGGAUUGAUGAAUAUUGCUCUCCCUUUCAUGACCAGCUCUUGGCGGGAUCCCUCAGACUUGACAUUCAACUUAAAGACUUGCCACGGGUCAGCAGUUGCAUGCUGGACUAAAGGAAGCAACACAAUCAAGAAUCUCCACAAGUGCAGGUCAUUGAGGGCACUGAGCGUAUCCUCCAGACGUGGCAUGACUUUCAAAGGACUGGCAUGCCUGCCACCUGAAGGUCCCAGGUUCACUUUUCCUGGAACAAAGCAAAUGAAAAGGAGAAGAUCAGAGACUGUCGAUCACGGCGUGAAGUUCUUGUUUAUGUCUCAACAAAACUGACAGCAGAGCAUCACUCCAAACUUGAACCUAGGUCAUCCCAACUAUAAAUAGCCGUCUGUGUGAUAACACAGCCUGAAUGUCUGGCCAGAUUUGAUAUUAACUGGUUUAAUGUCUGAUCCCUAUAGAGACAGCCAAAAUAUUUUUCAUCCCAAAUGACUAAACAAAAUACAAGCGUUUUAUCUUAUGACAGAAAUCAUUCUAACAUGCUAACAUUGGGUGUUUUUUAAUUAUCAAUGUGUAUUUUAAAAAAUGCAUGACAUUAUAAAAUUAAACUUUACAUGUAACACACUGAAUACACAUGAUAUGCAAGAUUCAACAGCCCCUCAAAAAAAAAAACUGUUGUAGGUACUUCAUUAACUGUUCAGUGUGUGAAACUCAUCAUGUUCUCUCCUGCUCUUCUGCUUCUCUGGGUUUCUGUUUUUCUCAUCAUGAGAACUGGCCUGCUCUUGUGUAAAGAGGAAACAAUUGAUACAAUGAGGGAGUAAACGUGGCGAGUUCAACCACAGGCCUUGAUAAUGUCACGAGGAUCUUUAAUACAUGUAAUAAAUUCUAUGUUUAACCUCA
ensembl:lncRNA